UGCAUGAUGAUCAAAACAAACACGGGAACAGCGUUGGAACGAGUGGUUCGGACGUGUGUAAAGUUUUGUCAAGUUCUUCAAACUCCAUACAGAAGAUGACUGAUAUGGAGGAAGGCGAUGGCGAGGUAUUCGACAUCACCGACUUCACGUCGGCCUCCGACUGGGAACGCUUCACUGGCGCGCUUGCCGAGCUGCUGCACGAGUGGAAGGCGCUGCGCCAGCCGCCGGCCGUCAGCCAGGCUCAGCUCCAGUU